rnacentral:rRNA from 1 species
CCUACGGGUGGCAGCAGUGGGGAAUAUUGCACAAUGGGGGAAACCCUGAUGCAGCGACGCCGCGUGAGUGAGGAAGUAUUUCGGUAUGUAAAGCUCUAUCAGCAGGGAAGAAAAUGACGGUACCUGACGAAGAAGCCCCGGCUAACGACGUGCCAGCAGCCGCGGGAAUACGUAGGGGGCAAGCGUUCUCCGGAUUUACUGGGUGUAAGGGGAGCGUAGACGGAAUUGCAAGUCUGCUGUGAAAAUCCGGGGCCCAACCCCGGAACUGCAUUGGAAACUGUAUUUCUCGAGUGUCGGAUCGGCACGUGGCAUUCCUGGUGUAGCGGUGCAAUUCGUCGAUCUCAGUAGGACCCCCAGUGGCUACGGCGGCUUGCUGGACGAUUACUUCCGUUGCGGCUCGAACGCGUGGGGCGCAAACAGGCUUAGAUACCCCUGUAGU